rnacentral:rRNA from 1 species
UCAUAAUCAGUGAAAACGAGUAGGGCGGGACACGUGAUAUCCUGUCUGAAUAUGGGGGGACCAUCCUCCAAGGCUAAAUACUACUGACUGACCGAUAGUGAACCAGUACCGUGAGGGAAAGGCGAAAAGAACCCCUGUGAGGGGAGUGAAAUAGAACCUGAAACCGUGUACGUACAAGCAGUAGGAGCACCUUCGUGGUGUGACUGCGUACCUUUUGUAUAAUGGGUCAGCGACUUAAUUUUAGUAGCAAGGUUAACCGUUUAGGGGAGCCGUAGGGAAACCGAGUCUUAACUGGGCGUACAGUUGCUAGGAUUAGACCCGAAACCAGGUGAUCUAGCCAUGGGCAGGUUGAAGGUUGAGUAACAUCAACUGGAGGACCGAACCGACUAAUGUUGAAAAAUUAGCGGAUGACUUGUGGCUAGGGGUGAAAGGCCAAUCAAACCUGGAGAUAGCUGGUUCUCCCCGAAAGCUAUUUAGGUAGCGCCUCGGACGAAUACUACUGGGGGUAGAGCACUGUUAAGGCUAGGGGGUCAUCCCGACUUACCAACCCUUUGCAAACUCCGAAUACCAGUAAGUACUAUCCGGGAGACACACGGCGGGUGCUAACGUCCGUCGUGGAGAGGGAAACAACCCAGACCGCCAGCUAAGGUCCCAAAGUAUAGCUAAGUGGGAAACGAUGUGGGAAGGCUCAGACAGCCAGGAUGUUGGCUUAGAAGCAGCCAUCAUUUAAAGAAAGCGUAAUAGCUCACUGGUCGAGUCGGCCUGCGCGGAAGAUGUAACGGGGCUAAGCUAUACACCGAAGCUGCGGCUACGUACCUUAGGGUAUGUGGGGUAGGGGAGCGUUCUGUAAGCCGUUGAAGGUGGUCUGUAAGGGCUGCUGGAGGUAUCAGAAGUGCGAAUGCUGACAUGAGUAACGAUAAAGGGAGUGAAAAACUCCCUCGCCGGAAGACCAAGGGUUCCUGUCCAACGUUAAUCGGGGCAGGGUAAGUCGACUCCUAAGGCGAGGCCGAAAGGCGUAGUCGAUGGGAAACGGGUUAAUAUUCCCGUACUUCUUACAAUUGCGAUGGGGGGACGGAGAAGGCUAGGUGGGCCUGGCGACGGUUGUCCAGGUUCAAGUAUGUAGGCGGAAAGUUUAGGUAAAUCCGGACUUUCAUUAACGCUGAGAUACGAUGUCGAGCUACUACGGUAGUGAAGUCAUUGAUGCCAUGCUUCCAGGAAAAGCCUCUAAGCUUCAGAUUGUAAGGAAUCGUACCCCAAACCGACACAGGUGGUCGGGUAGAGAAUACCAAGGCGCUUGAGAGAACUCGGGUGAAGGAACUAGGCAAAAUGGUACCGUAACUUCGGGAGAAGGUACGCUCUUAUCAGUGAAGUCCCUUGCGGAUGGAGCAGACGAGAGUCGCAGAUACCAGGUGGCUGCAACUGUUUAUUAAAAACACAGCACUGUGCAAAAUCGUAAGAUGACGUAUACGGUGUGACGCCUGCCCGGUGCCGGAAGGUUAAUUGAUGGGGUUAGUCUUCGGACGAAGCUCUUGAUCGAAGCCCCGGUAAACGGCGGCCGUAACUAUAACGGUCCUAAGGUAGCGAAAUUCCUUGUCGGGUAAGUUCCGACCUGCACGAAUGGCGUAAUGAUGGCCACGCUGUCUCCACC